UAUAUUUUCUGAUACGUGAAAAUAUCUGCCUCAAGUUGCUUCAGUAAGCGACUGCAUACACGUGAGCUUGCAACACAAAUACAAGAUGAGGUUAUCAAGUUCGGCCGUUCUUCUAGGGUCUCUUGCACUUGUUUGUAUGGUGGAGCUCCAAAGGGCCCUCAGCUUCGAGAAUUGGAUCGAGGGGCAGAUAUUGUUGUUGCCACCCCUGGUCGGCUCAAUGAUAUCCUUGAGAUGAAGAAAAUUGACUUUCGUCAAGUAUCUCUCCUUGUCCUUGAUGAGGCAGAUCGAAUGUUUGAUAUGGGUUUUGAACCUCAAAUCCGCAAGAUUGUGAAUGAGAUUCCCCCACGUCGGCAGACUCUCAUGUACACUGCAACCUGGCCCAAGGAGGUCAGGAAAAUUGCGGGAGAUCUACUUGUUAAUCCUGUUCAGGUGAAUAUUGGCAGUGUUGAUGAGCAAACAAGGCCAUCACACAGUAUGUUGAGGUAGUCCCGCAAAUGGAGAAGCAGAGACGCAUAGAACUUGUGAGAGACGCAGGUUUUUUGAAGCAGGAACAGUUUGGCAGGUUGAAGUACAUUAUUGAAGAAUGGCAAAGAGGAAGGCAGGAGAGCUGGUGCUUCUAUUUGAAUUUGCCUCGGAAAUGUAUGACCUUAGGAAAGUAAAAUUUGCCUCCCUUAAGAGCUUAAUAUGGUUUUUAUUAAUGGCUAUAAGAACCUAAUAUACCUGAAAAA